rnacentral:rRNA from 1 species
AUACGUAGGGUGCGAGCGUUGUCCGGGAUUAUUGGGCGUAAAGGGCGCGUAGGCGGCCACUGCAAGUCAGUUGUGAAAUCUCCGGGCUUAACCCGGGAAGGUCAACUGAUACUGCAGGGUUAGAGUGCGGAAGGGGCCACUGGACUUCUUGGUGUAGCGGUGAAUUCGGUAGAUAUCGAGAGGAACCCCUGCGGCGAAGGGGGGUUGCGGGGGUGACACUGACGGUGAUGGGCGAAAGCUGGGGGAGCGAAAGGGAUUAGAUACCCCGGUAGUCCUAGGCUUAAACGAUGAAUGCUUUGUUUCUGGGGGUUUAUAGUCCCCGGGUGCCGUCGCUAACGCUUUAAGCAUUCCGCCUGGGGAGUACGGUCGCAAGACUGAAACUCAAAUGAAUUGACGGGG